UACGUAGGGGGCAAGCGUUGUCCGGAAUCAUUGGGCGUAAAGAGCGCGUAGGCGGCCCUGUAAGUCCGCUGUGAAAGUCAAGGGCUCAACCCUUGAAUGCCGGUGGAUACUGCAGGGCUAGAGUCCGGAAGAGGCGAGUGGAAUUCCUGGUGUAGCGGUGAAAUGCGUAGAUAUCUGGAGGAACACCGGUGGCGAAGGCGGCAUCCUGGACCGGCAUUGACGCUGAGGCGCGAAAGCCAGGGGAGCAAACGGG
rnacentral:rRNA from 1 species